GGGGAUAACAGAGGGAAACCUCUGCUAAUACCGAAUACGAUAACUAGACGCAUGUUUAGUUAUUAAAAGGGGCUCCAAAGCCCCGCUCUAAGAGGGGUCUAUAUCGCAUUAGCUAGUUGGUAAGAUAACAGCCUACCAAGGCGAUGAUGCGUAGCUGUACUGAGAGGUAGAACAGCCACAUUGGGACUGAGAUACGGCCCAAACUCCUACGGGAGGCAGCAGUAGGGAAUUUUCGGCAAUGGGGGGAACCCUGACCGAGCAAUGCCGCGUGAUUGAAGAAGAUCUUCGGAUCGUAAAGAUCUGUUAUUAGGGAAGAAUGGAAUUGAUAGGAAAUGAUCAAUUUAUGACGGUGCCUAAUGAGGAAGCCCCGGCUAACUAUGUGCCAGCAGCCGCGGUAAUACAUAGGGGGCGAGCGUUAUCCGGAAUUAUUGGGCGUAAAGGGUACGUAGGCGGGCCUGCAAGUCUGAUUUGAAAGCACACGGCUUAACCGUGUGAGGUAAUUAGAAACUACAGGUCUAGAGAGUGGUAGAGGUAAAUGGAAUUCCAAGUGGAGCGGUGAAAUGCGUAGAGAUUUGGAGGAACACCAGUGGCGAAGGCGGUUUACUGGGCCACAUCUGACGCUGAUGUACGAAAGCGUGGGGAACAAACAGGAUUAGAUACCCUGGUAGUCCACGCCGUCACUAAUGGGUGCUAAGUAUCGGUAGAUUCGGUGCUUAAGCUACCGCAGUAAGCACUCCCGCCAGGGGAGUACGGUCGCAAGACUGAAACUCAAAGGAAUUGACGGGGACUCGCACAAGCGGUGGAGCAUGCGGUUUAAUUCGAUGCAACGCGAAGAACCUUACCAGGUCUUGACAGUGUAAAGAAUACUUAAGAGAUUAAGGGCUAAGAAU
rnacentral:rRNA from 1 species